CCUGAGAUAAGAAACAACAACCAACCAUGAAAACCUCUAAGAACAGCCUCCUGCAGUCUCUCAUCAGCGGGCAUUGGAAAGAGCUGAGUUCCAGACCACCUUUAUGUCCUCCUGAGGUGAUCUCAGGUCUAAGGAGACACCUCGUGCAGUGACAUUUGGCGUCCCCCUGGGUGGGCAGAGACACUUGGCGUCCCUCUGCGUGGGCCGCAGCCUACAAAGGUGGGAGCGGACCCUUGGACCCUGAAAACCGAGCUCCAGAAGAGGCACGCCUUGAAGAGGAGGAGAUUUCUGGCCCUUUGCCAAGAAAAGCCGAGUUCCAGAUGCGAGUCGGAGAGGAGGUAUCCUGGGAAUCCUCGCUCCUGUGCACUGCUGGUUGGUUUCAGGAACUUCUGAAUUGAUUUUGGACAAAUUGCUUUUGGCAUUUGCAGGCAGCUGCCCGGACAGAGGCGACCCGGAGAAAACUCGGGCACAGCAGCGUGAGGUCACCAGCCCGGGGCUCACUGAGGGAGGGGGGCACAGCAUCCCCGCUGCUCCCUCCCACCAUGUACAGGUCAAGGGCUGCAGAGAGGAGGAGGGAUGGGGGAUGGAGAGACGCCAAGAGCUGCUUUAUCUGCAUUGUGGAGGACAAACAGAGCAAGGGAACACGAGAGAGGACUGAGAUGGGUGCCAGCGAGGUACACGAGGCCAUGUCGGGCCCAGGCGCGGGCAGAUGCCAGCCCUGGAAGCGAAGGGGUGAGCUCACAGAUUGAAUCAGAAACAAAGAUCGUGAACUCCUCUCCGGAGAGCACGUGGAGAACUUGGGAGCUGAAAACGAACAUGUUUAUUCAGACAGUUUCAUGUUUCAAUUUUUUGUCAAUUGUGCUAAGUAACAUUGUGGAAAGAAUAGGGUUAUAUAUAUUAGUGGGGCUUGUUGCUCUUCUCAUCGUUUUGCUGUGCAUCAUCCAGUGCAUUCAGCAUGCCAUGAAUAAAGCUGUGAAAGAAGUGUUUUUAGUGAAAACAGCAGGGGGAGAUGUGGGAGUCCAGAGUGUUCCCCUGGCCUCCUUGGGCAUCUCAAAACCCCCCUGGCGAGGGACUCAAAGA